GACGAACGCUGGCGGCGUGCCUAAUACAUGCAAGUUGAGCGAUGAAGAUUGGUGCUUGCACCAAUUUGAAGAGCAGCGAACGGGUGAGUAACGCGUGGGGAAUCUGCCUUUGAGCGGGGGACAACAUUUGGAAACGAAUGCUAAUACCGCAUAACAACUUUAAACAUAAGUUUUAAGUUUGAAAGAUGCAAUUGCAUCACUCAAAGAUGAUCCCGCGUUGUAUUAGCUAGUUGGUGAGGUAAAGGCUCACCAAGGCGAUGAUACAUAGCCGACCUGAGAGGGUGGUCGGCCACAGUGGGACUGAGACACGGCCCAAACUCCUACGGGAGGCAGCAGUAGGGAAUCUUCGGCAAUGGACGAAAGUCUGACCGAGCAACGCCGCGUGAGUGAAGAAGGUUUUCGGAUCGUAAAACUCUGUUGGUAGAGAAGAACGUUGGUGAGAGUGGAAAGCUCAUCAAGUGACGGUAACUACCCAGAAAGGGACGGCUAACUACGUG
rnacentral:rRNA from 1 species